rnacentral:rRNA from 1 species
CGAAGGUAGCUUGCUACCAGGCGUCGAGCGGCGGACGGGUGAGUAAUGCUUAGGAAUCUACCGAGUAGUGGGGGAUAGCCAUUGGAAACGAUGAUUAAUACCGCAUAUAUCCUACGGGGGAAAGCAGGGGACCUUCGGGCCUUGCGCUAUUCGAUGAGCCUGAGUGAGAUUAGCUAGUUGGUGGGGUAAAGGCCUACCAAGGCGACGAUCUCUAGCUGGUCUGAGAGGAUGAUCAGCCACACUGGGACUGAGACACGGCCCAGACUCCUACGGGAGGCAGCAGUGGGGAAUAUUGCACAAUGGACGGAAGUCUGAUGCAGCCAUGCCGCGUGUGUGAAGAAGGCCUUCGGGUUGUAAAGCACUUUCAGCGAGGAGGAAAGGUCAGUAAGUAAUAUUUGCUGGCUGUGACGUUACUCGCAGAAGAAGCACCGGCUAAUUUAGUGCCAGCAGCCGCGGUAAUACUAAAGGUGCAAGCGUUAAUCGGAAUUACUGGGCGUAAAGCGCGCGUAGGUGGUUUGUUAAGUUGGAUGUGAAGCCCAGGGCUCAACCUUGGAACUGCAUUCAAAACUGACUCACUAGAGUACGAGAGAGGUUAGUGGAAUUUCCUGUGUAGCGGUGAAAUGCGUAGAGAUGGGAAGGAACACCAGUGGCGAAGCGACUGACUGGCUCGAUACUGA